GCUCAGGAUGAACGCUAGCUACAGGCUUAACACAUGCAAGUCGAGGGGCAUCAGGAAGAAAGCUUGCUUUCUUUGCUGGCGACCGGCGCACGGGUGAGUAACACGUAUCCAACCUGCCCUUUACUCGGGGAUAGCCUUUCGAAAGAAAGAUUAAUACCCGAUAGCAUAAUGAUUCCGCAUGGUUUCAUUAUUAAAGGAUUCCGGUAAAGGAUGGGGAUGCGUUCCAUUAGGUUGUUGGUGAGGUAACGGCCCACCAAGCCUUCGAUGGAUAGGGGUUCUGAGAGGAAGGUCCCCCACAUUGGAACUGAGACACGGUCCAAACUCCUACGGGAGGCAGCAGUGAGGAAUAUUGGUCAAUGGGCGCUAGCCUGAACCAGCCAAGUAGCGUGAAGGAUGAAGGCUCUAUGGGUCGUAAACUUCUUUUAUAUAAGAAUAAAGUGCAGUAUGUAUACUGUUUUGUAUGUAUUAUAUGAAUAAGGAUCGGCUAACUCCGUGCCAGCAGCCGCGGUAAUACGGAGGAUCCGAGCGUUAUCCGGAUUUAUUGGGUUUAAAGGGAGCGUAGGUGGACUGGUAAGUCAGUUGUGAAAGUUUGCGGCUCAACCGUAAAAUUGCAGUUGAUACUGUCAGUCUUGAGUACAGUAGAGGUGGGCGGAAUUCGUGGUGUAGCGGUGAAAUGCUUAGAUAUCACGAAGAACUCCGAUUGCGAAGGCAGCUCACUGGACUGCAACUGACACUGAUGCUCGAAAGUGUGGGUAUCAAACAGGAUUAGAUACCCUGGUAGUCCACACAGUAAACGAUGAAUACUCGCUGUUUGCGAUAUACAGUAAGCGGCCAAGCGAAAGCAUUAAGUAUUCCACCUGGGGAGUACGCCGGCAACGGUGAAACUCAAAGGAAUUGACGGGGGCCCGCACAAGCGGAGGAACAUGUGGUUUAAUUCGAUGAUACGCGAGGAACCUUACCCGGGCUUAAAUUGCAGUGGAAUGAUGUGGAAACAUGUCAGUGAGCAAUCACCGCUGUGAAGGUGCUGCAUGGUUGUCGUCAGCUCGUGCCGUGAGGUGUCGGCUUAAGUGCCAUAACGAGCGCAACCCUUAUCUUUAGUUACUAACAGGUUAUGCUGAGGACUCUAGAGAGACUGCCGUCGUAAGAUGUGAGGAAGGUGGGGAUGACGUCAAAUCAGCACGGCCCUUACGUCCGGGGCUACACACGUGUUACAAUGGGGGGUACAGAAGGCAGCUAGCGGGUGACCGUAUGCUAAUCCCAAAAUCCUCUCUCAGUUCGGAUCGAAGUCUGCAACCCGACUUCGUGAAGCUGGAUUCGCUAGUAAUCGCGCAUCAGCCACGGCGCGGUGAAUACGUUCCCGGGCCUUGUACACACCGCCCGUCAAGCCAUGGGAGCCGGGGGUACCUGAAGUACGUAACCGCAAGGAUCGUCCUAGGGUA
rnacentral:rRNA from 1 species